CAGCUCCCCAUGACGAAUGCGGUCACCAGCACUGCACACAUAAAACACUUGUUCUUUUACGUCAAGUUCUCGCGCUUUGGGUGUGAUUUUGUUAUCUUUUUAAAAAGUGGAUGUAUUCAAAGACAAAGUUAGGCACCACACCGGAAUAUAAAUAAGCCCAUUCAGGGAUAUGUAAGCAUGGAUACACACGAAACAAGCAAAAAUCCAAAAUGGAAGCUGGGAAAUUUCUCUCAGAAAAACCAUUCUCUGCAGUCACCUUAUUGACCUAGGCAUCUACGCCAGAAGCUGGACAUUCUUCAACAUCGACAUGCAAGUCAUGCCAGGAUAGCGCUCUGCUCUUGUGGUCCAGUGGCGACAUGGCAGUUCAGGCCACCUCGUGUCACCUGGCUCACUGAGGAAAGAAACAGUUCAACAGACAGGAGCCCAAGAAAAGACACAUAGAUGGUUCCGCACACACACAGCUGCUUUCCAUGCCUGGGUGCAUCCCACACUCUGAACGGAGCCUACCUCAGCAGUGUGAUACCAGCCAUCACAGGCAGGGCAGCCCAUCUUCCAGGAGCACCUCUCAAGUGUCGCCUGCUAGAGGGAGGCUGCUUCACAACAGUGCGAUGGCAUCAGAGCUGUGAGGAGGAGGAAAAGACUGAAGCACAAGCCUCGGCAUGGAAGUUUCCACUAAGCAUUGGGAGCUGGCCAGGCUUUCCUCAGGUGUGAUACGGGACCGGAUGGAUCUUCAGUGCCUGCAGAGACAGUGAGGUCAAUGUGGAAAGAGCUCUCUAACCUACAAUGGACCACAAAAUGUGGAUUCCAGGGCACUCGUGUUAGGGUGUAAAUACCUGUGGUUAGAGCCAGAAGAGACCUCAGACCCAAUCAUGCCAAACCCUCACAUCAGAUGUGGCGGGG
rnacentral:lncRNA from 1 species